AUUUUGAUCAACUCGAGGAGUCACAGUUUCGGGAACAAUGGCAUAAUUCAACAAUUUUUUUGUUUUGCUGUUAUAAUUGUAAAAAAUAAACAAAAUAAAUGAAUAACAAUGUUCUAUGAGAUGGAAGGCAACAUUUUUUAAUAAUACAGCGAUAAGUGUUGGAAGGAAGUGCCAAUUCAAUAAAUCGAAAAGCAAUUACGAGUGCAGUUAAAUUGAUGAUUACCAUUAGGAAAUCUUUCUGAAAUCAGAAAAAAAGAAUUUGUAUUUCUUACCAGCCUGAGCUUUCACAACAGACACAACUUAAUGUGCCAUAAAAGAGUAGAGACCUGAUGUUGUCUCGUCACAAAACAUAAACGGAGGAUCCAUUAAAACUUCAGAAGCAAAUGAAAGUCGUUUCAUUUCUCCACCAGAGAGUCCUUUUAAUCUUCCAGUGUUCUCUCACUCCGGAAAUUACUUCGUUGACCCUCUUAACUCUUUGUCUAAAAGGAAUAUGCCUGUCCAUUUGCACCAUAGCUUGAAAAAGUACCAAAAAAAGUUCGUCUUGUUGAACAUAAGCUAUUCUUGAGGUCAAAACACUGGC